rnacentral:rRNA from 1 species
UGGGGGAUAUUGCGCAAUGGGGGGAACCCUGACGCAGCCAUGCCGCGUGAAUGAAGAAGGCCUUCGGGUUGUAAAGUUCUUUCGGUAUUGAGGAAGGUUGAUGUGUUAAUAGCACAUCAAAUUGACGUUAAAUACAGAAGAAGCACCGGCUAACUCCGUGCCAGCAGCCGCGGUAAUACGGAGGGUGCGAGCGUUAAUCGGAAUAACUGGGCGUAAAGGGCACGCAGGCGGUUAUUUAAGUGAGGUGUGAAAGCCCUGGGCUUAACCUAGGAAUUGCAUUUCAGACUGGGUAACUAGAGUACUUUAGGGAGGGGUAGAAUUCCACGUGUAGCGGUGAAAUGCGUAGAGAUGUGGAGGAAUACCGAAGGCGAAGGCAGCCCCUUGGGAAUGUACUGACGCUCGUGUGCGAAAGCGUGGGGAGCAAACAGGAUUAGAUACCCUGGUAGUCCACGCUGUAAACGCUGUCGAUUUGGGGGUUGGGGUUUAACUCUGGCGCCCGUAGCUAACGUGAUAAAUCGACCGCCUGGGGAGUACGGCCGCAAGGUUA